rnacentral:rRNA from 1 species
UUGAUCCUGGCUCAGGACGAACGCUGGCGGCGUGCCUAAUACAUGCAAGUCGAACGCUUCUUUCCUCCCGAGUGCUUGCACUCAAUUGGAAAGAGGAGUGGCGGACGGGUGAGUAACACGUGGGUAACCUACCCAUCAGAGGGGGAUAACACUUGGAAACAGGUGCUAAUACCGCAUAACAGUUUAUGCCGCAUGGCAUAAGAGUGAAAGGCGCUUUCGGGUGUCGCUGAUGGAUGGACCCGCGGUGCAUUAGCUAGUUGGUGAGGUAACGGCUCACCAAGGCCACGAUGCAUAGCCGACCUGAGAGGGUGAUCGGCCACACUGGGACUGAGACACGGCCCAGACUCCUACGGGAGGCAGCAGUAGGGAAUCUUCGGCAAUGGACGAAAGUCUGACCGAGCAACGCCGCGUGAGUGAAGAAGGUUUUCGGAUCGUAAAACUCUGUUGUUAGAGAAGAACAAGGACGUUAGUAACUGAACGUCCCCUGACGGUAUCUAACCAGAAAGCCACGGCUAACUACGUGCCAGCAGCCGCGG